rnacentral:tRNA from 1 species
AAGGUACUAGUAAAACGACAAUUACACUGCUUUGUCAAGGCAGAGUUGCAAGUUAAAACCUUGCGUACCUUA